AUGCAGCAGGCUUUUCAGGAUAUGGCAGCCGGCAGGUGUCCUCAGUUCCCUCCAGCACAAUGCCCUCCAGCACAACCAGUGCUGAUGAGCUUUGAGGAGUUUGUGGCACAGAACGCUGGCCCCUCGCCGGGAACAGGUGGAUCUACCAUUGGCGGUGGUCUUCGCAGCACUCCGGAGACACGGAGCCCGACCACUCUGAUCCACGGAGGCGGAGGUGGAGGCGGUCUUGGCGGUAGCGCUGCCGCUAGCAGUGACGACCUGGGCUUCGGCGGUCUUGGCGGUGACGACCUCUGUGGUGCUCGACGUCCUGGCGCUUAAGCCUUUGGGUCACAUUGUGGCUGUCUUGGUGGUGAUGAUACUUAUAUGCUUGUGAUGUUUCUUAUUGUUGUUUGUGAGAUUCUUAUAUGCUUGGUGGUGAUGAUACUUAUAUGUUUAUGCUUUGCGAU